rnacentral:rRNA from 1 species
GUUACACUUAUGAUGCAAUAAAAAAGGUUUGGUAGGUAAUUAAUAGUUAUUUUUGAAUUUAUUCUUAGUUUUAUUAAGUGAAAUUUUUAAAAUUUGGAUAAAUUUGUUUAUAGUUUAUGAGGUUGAUAAAUUUAAGUUUUAAACUAGGAUUAGAUACCCUAUUAUUUUAAAUUAAACGUUGUUCUCUUGGUCAGUAGUAGUUAUAGUCUUGAAAAUUAAAGAAGUUGGCGGUAUUUUAGUCUAUUCAGAGGAACCUGUCCUAUAAUCGAUAGUCCACGAUUUUUUUUACUUAUUUUAUUAAUUUGUAUAUCGCCGCAGGUUGAAUAUUUUUGGAAAAAUGUAAUGUUCAAUAUUUUUUAUGAAAAAGGAAUUCAGGUCAAGGUGUAGUUUAUAGAUAAGAAGAGAUGGGUUACAAUAAAUUUAUUUAGGCGAAUUAAUAGAUGAAAUUUUAUUAUAAAGAUGGAUUUGAGGGUAAUUUUAUUUAGAUUUAUAAGAUGAUUUGAGCUCUAAAAUAUGUACAU